rnacentral:lncRNA from 1 species
CUCCAUGUUUAUGGUUGUGCAUUGGUGAGAUGAUCCAAAGAACCUUCAUUGCAUGUACUGUUGAGUUUAUCUAAACUUUGCUGAGGUUAUUGCUGAUCGCUGUGUGUGUUUCUGUGUGUGUGUUUCUGUGUGUGUGUGUGUGUGUGUUUCUGUGUGUGUGUGUGUGUGUGUGUGUGUGUGUGUGUGUGUGUGUUUCUGUGUGUGUGUGUGUGUGUGUGUCUAUGUUUCCUUCACAGGUCCAGCAGGCUCAGCAGCAACAGCAGCAGCAGCAGCAGGUCCAGCAGCAGCAGCAGGUCCAGCAGCAGCAGGUCCAGCAGCAACAACAACAACAGCAACAACAGCAGCAACAACAGCAGCAACAACAGCAGCAGCAGCAGCAACAGCAGCAGGUCCAGCAGCAGCAGCAGGUGCAGCCACAGCAGGUACAGCCGCAGCAGGUCUCUGCAGCGCAGGCACCUGCACAGGUGCAGCAGAACCAGGCCCUGGGCAUGCAGGCGCUGCCGCCGCAACAACCCAUGUUUCCACGGCAGGGUAUGCAGCAGACCCAGCAACAGCAACAGACAGCAGCCCUGGUCAGACAGCUCCAGCAGCAGCUGUCAAGUAAGACAACACACUCAGCCUCUCCGCCUCUCCAAACACUGAGCACACUGGCUGGUUUGGAUGCCUUCUACAGUAAUGAUGCUAUACUUACGCUUGUAGCCAGUAAUUAGUGUUCAGACAUCUCCCUUUACUGUUUUAAUAUGGAUGUGUUUUCUUUCUUCACCCAACCAGAUACACAACCUGGACAGAACACAGCUCCCUAUUACUGAGAGAGAAAAAAAAA